AUGGUCCUACGGGAGGCAGCAGUGGGGAAUCUUCCGCAAUGGGCGCAAGCCUGACGGAGCAAUGCCGCCUGAACGAAGAAGGUCUUCGGAUUGUAAAGUUCUGUCCUUAUCGAAGAGAGGGUAUAGAGUGAAAAAUGAUAUACUAGGACGGUAGAUGAGGAGGAAGCCCCGGCUAACUACGUGCCAGCAGCCGCGGUAAUACGUAGGGGGCGAGCGUUGUCCGGAAUCACUGGGCGUAAAGGGCGCGUAGGCGGUACUAUAAGUCAGCUGUGAAAGGUGGGGACUCAACCCCUAGAGUGCAACUG
rnacentral:rRNA from 1 species